GUUCGUUCUUUUGUCACGUGACAACGAACGACUCGAACCAAAAGAGUUGAAAGGUGAACUAAUCAUUUCUGUUUCUCAUCAUUUGUCCUUGGCUGCAUUAACAUUUUUUCUUAUUGGUACUAUAAUCAAAGUUUGCGAUUGGGUCAUUUAUAGUCCUGGCAGGUCUACAGCUAUAACUGAAAGAAGAGUCAUCAGAGGUUUUCAAGGCAAAAAAUAAAUAAAUAAAAAAGGAAGAGGAGCUUGACCAAGCACAGAAAGGAGCAGAUGCCAUCAAUGCUUUGGAGCAGGAAGAGCAAAAGUUGCCUUUCAACUCACUGGAUGUAUUGAUUGUCCUUGAAAAUGAGCUGGGGACAUUUGUCAAAACUUGGGUCAGUGCACUGACUUUUUGGCUACUUUAUGCCCUUGACAUUAGCUACCCAAAGAAGCUGACACUUUUUCUUUCUUUUUUUGAGGUCAUACAGUAAAUGGUGUUGCAUCAUGAUGAUGGUAAUGUCUGGCCAAGUUG